CUGGAACAUCUGGGCCAGGCCUUCAGCAUCCUCCUUGGCGGGAAUGGCAAAGUAGACUGCCCGGGCAAGAUGACCCUCCAGUUGCACCCGAGGUCCAUCUACCAGGAAGUACCUGAGGUCCAAACACCAGAGAGGGGCCGCAGCCUCUGACCUCUCACCUCUAACCCGGGUGGGAGGAUGUAGAUGUCAGACGUUCCCAUUCGGAGUCCGGCCGGAGCCGGAAGAGAAGUUAACCUCCCACCCCUUUGGGGGCUGUGUCACGGCUGACCGCGGUCAUCAACUGCCUCACACCUCCACGCCUUCAGAAAUCACUCACCCACUGCCUGGCUCCGUCGCCAUGUCUCCCUAUUUGACCCUGCCUGACUCUGACUGACCUCUAGGCUCACCAACCGCGGCGCCAGCUUCGCCGUGACUCGGACCAAUGGCCUGAAGAGUGCGCGGUCGAUCUUUGGGGCAUAGACCAAUCGUAGCCUGGCGAUUUGUGGGCGGGUGCUGUUCCUAGGGUUACGAGGGGCUCGGCUGGCGGUGACCAAUGAAAGCCCGAAGAUACUAGCAUCCUGGCAAGCCUAAGCUCUGAGGCUGGAACUCCGGAGCCCCGCGUCUGGGGAGAAGACUCUGAAAGAGCCUGUUACUAUGGAAACUCCUCAGAGGCCGAAAAUGAAAAGGAAAAUAAAUUGCAGUGCUUUAUGGA